rnacentral:rRNA from 1 species
GAUGCGACCUCAGCUCAGGCGGGGCCACCCGCUGAGUUUAAGCAUAUCAAUAAGCGGAGGAAAAGAAA